ACAGUGGACGCGAGCAUCUGUGGCCAAGUUUUUAAGGGCGCACGGUGGAUGCCUUGGCACCAGGAACCGAUGAAGGACGUGGGAGGCCACGAUAGUCCCCGGGGAGUCGUCAACCAGGCUUUGAUCCGGGGGUUUCCGAAUGGGGAAACCCGGCAGUCGUCAUGGGCUGUCACCCGCUGCUGAACACAUAGGCAGUGUGGAGGGAACGAGGGGAAGUGAAACAUCUCAGUACCCUCAGGAAGAGAAAACAACCGUGAUUCCGGGAGUAGUGGCGAGCGAAACCGGAUGAGGCCAAACCGUAUGCGUGUGAGACCCGGCAGGGGUUGCGUAUACGGGGUUGUGGGAUCUCUCUUCUGUUGUCUGCCGGCGACAGGACGAGUCAGAAACCGUUGAUGUAGGCGAAGGACAUGCGAAAGGUCCGGCGUAGAGGGUAAGACCCCCGUAGUCGAAACAUCAGCGGCUCGUUUGAGAGACACCCAAGUAGCACGGGGCCCGAGAAAUCCCGUGUGAAUCUGGCGGGACCACCCGCUAAGCCUAAAUAUUCCCUGGUGACCGAUAGCGGAUAGUACCGUGAGGGAAUGGUGAAAAGUACCCCGGGAGGGGAGUGAAAUAGUACCUGAAACCGUGUGCCUACAAGCCGUGGGAGCACUUUGGUGUGACUGCGUGCCUUUUGAAGAAUGAGCCUGCGAGUUUGCGGUGUGUUGCGAGGUUAACCCGUGUGGGGAAGCCGUAGCGAAAGCGAGUCCGAAUAGGGCGUUGGAGUAGCACGCUCAAGACCCGAAGCGGAGUGAUCUAGCCAUGGGCAGGUUGAAGCGGAGGUAAGACUUCGUGGAGGACCGAACCCACCAGGGUUGAAAACCUGGGGGAUGACCUGUGGUUAGGGGUGAAAGGCCAAUCAAACUCCGUGAUAGCUGGUUCUCCCCGAAAUGCAUUUAGGUGCAGCGUCGUGUGUUUCUUGCCGGAGGUAGAGCACUGGAUAGGCGAUGGGCCCUACCGGGUUACUGACCUUAGCCAAACUCCGAAUGCCGGUAAGUGAGAGCGCGGCAGUGAGACUGUGGGGGAUAAGCUCCAUGGUCGAGAGGGAAACAGCCCAGAGCAUCGACUAAGGCCCCUAAGCGUACGCUAAGUGGGAAAGGAUGUGGAGUCGCACAGACAACCAGGAGGUUGGCUUAGAAGCAGCCACCCUUGAAAGAGUGCGUAAUAGCUCACUGGUCUAGUGAUUCCGCGCCGACAAUGUAGCGGGGCUCAAGCGUACCGCCGAAGUCGUGUCAUUGACAUAUAUAGCCCCAACGGGUGUGUUGAUGGGUAGGGGAGCGUCGUCUGCCGGGUGAAGCGGCACUGGAAGGUAGUCGUGGACGGUUGACGAGUGAGAAUGCAGGCAUGAGUAGCGAUUCACACGUGAGAAACGUGUGCGCCGAUUGACUAAGGGUUCCUGGGUCAAGCUGAUCUGCCCAGGGUAAGUCGGGACCUAAGGCGAGGCCGACAGGCGUAGUCGAUGGAUAACCGGUUGAUAUUCCGGUACCCGCUGUGAAGCGUCAAACAUCGAGCAUCGUGAUGCUAAGGCCGUGAAGCCGCCCUGAUCUCUUCGGAGUUGAGGGGAGUGGUGGAGCCGCCGGACCAAGCGGUUAGUAGGUGAGUGAUGGGGUGACGCAGGAAGGUAGUCCAUCCCGGGCGGUGGUUGUCCCGGGGUAAGGGUGUAGGCCGGUGUGUAGGCAAAUCCGCACACCUUGUGGCUGAGACCUGAUGCCGAGCCGAUUGUGGUGAAGUGGAUGAUCCUAUGCUGUCGAGAAAAGCCUCUAGCGAGUUUCAUGGCGGCCCGUACCCUAAACCGACUCAGGUGGUCAGGUAGAGAAUACCGAGGCGUUCGGGUGAACUAUGGUUAAGGAACUCGGCAAAAUGCCCCCGUAACUUCGGGAGAAGGGGGGCCACGCCUGGUGAGAACACUUGCUGUUCGAGCUGGGGGUGGCCGCAGAGACCAGCGAGAAGCGACUGUUUACUAAAAACACAGGUCCGUGCGAAGCCGUAAGGCGAUGUAUACGGACUGACGCCUGCCCGGUGCUGGAACGUUAAGGGGACCGGUUAGCUUGGAUUCGUCCAGGCGAAGCUGAGAACUUAAGCGCCAGUAAACGGCGGUGGUAACUAUAACCAUCCUAAGGUAGCGAAAUUCCUUGUCGGGUAAGUUCCGACCUGCACGAAUGGCGUAACGACUUCUCGACUGUCUCAACCAUAGGCCCGGUGAAAUUGCACUACGAGUAAAGAUGCUCGUUUCGCGCAGCAGGACGGAAAGACCCCGGGACCUUUACUACAGUUUGAUAUUGGUGUUCGGUUCGGCUUGUGUAGGAUAGCUGGGAGACUUUGAAGCAGGCACGCCAGUGUUUGUGGAGUCGUCGUUGAAAUACCAGUCUGGUCGUGCUGGAUGUCUAACCUGGGUCCGUGAUCCGGAUCAGGGACAGUGUCUGAUGGGUAGUUUAACUGGGGCGGUUGCCUCCUAAAGAGUAACGGAGGCGCCCAAAGGUUCCCUCAGCCUGGUUGGCAAUCAGGUGUUGAGUGUAAGUGCACAAGGGAGCUUGACUGUGAGACCGACGGGUCGAGCAGGGACGAAAGUCGGGACUAGUGAUCCGGCGGUGGCUUGUGGAAGCGCCGUCGCUCAACGGAUAAAAGGUACCCCGGGGAUAACAGGCUGAUCUUCCCCAAGAGUCCAUAUCGACGGGAUGGUUUGGCACCUCGAUGUCGGCUCGUCGCAUCCUGGGGCUGGAGUCGGUCCCAAGGGUUGGGCUGUUCGCCCAUUAAAGCGGUACGCGAGCUGGGUUUAGAACGUCGUGAGACAGUUCGGUCCCUAUCCGCUGUGCGCGUAGGAGUCUUGAGAAGGGCUGUCCCUAGUACGAGAGGACCGGGACGGACGAACCUCUGGUGUGCCAGUUGUUCUGCCAAGGGCAUGGCUGGUUGGCUACGUUCGGGAGGGAUAACCGCUGAAAGCAUCUAAGCGGGAAGCCUGCUUCGAGAUGAGGACUCCCACCCACUUGAUGGGGUAAGGCUCCCAGUAGACGACUGGGUUGAUAGGCCGGAUCUGGAAGCCAGGUAACUGGUGGAGGUGACCGGUACUAAUAGGCCGAGGGCUUGUCCUCAGUUG
rnacentral:rRNA from 1 species